rnacentral:rRNA from 1 species
AUUGAACGCUGGCGGCAGGCCUAACACAUGCAAGUCGAACGAGGGGCGGACGGGUGAGUAAUGUCUGGGAAACUGCCUGAUGGAGGGGGAUAACCACUGGAAAAGGUAGAUAAUACCGCAUACCAGAGGAUGUGCCCAGAUGGGAUGAUCUAGGAGGAGGGGUAAAGGCUCACCUAGGCGACGAUCCCUAGCUGGUCUGAGAGGAUGAACAGCCACACUGGAACUGAGACACGGUCCAGACUCCUACGGGAGGCAGCAGUGGGGAAUAUUGCACAAUGGGCGCAAGCCUGAUGCAGCCAUGCCGCGUGUAUGAAGAAGGCCUUCGGGUUGUAAAGUACUUUCAGCCGGGAGGCGUUACCCGCAGAAGAAGCACCGGCUAACUCCGUGCCAGCAGCCGCGGUAAUAC